ACUGUAUAUCUGGAUUUUGUGGUGGUGUUUGUAUCUGAUUUUCAUAUACACAUAGCUAGGCCUGUAUAUAAUCCUUAUUGAUGCUGUCAAACGAAUAUACACAUUCAAAAAGGUGUGUACACAUGCAUGUAGUGAAAAAAAAAGUUUAUUACACACCGCCUUUUCUGUUUCUUCAAUUUUCCCUUGUUUAUGAGCAAAAACUUUUGAAGGUCUACGAACGCUGUUCGGCAUUUCUUAUUCUAACCGAUUUAAACAAUUAUAAACAUAAUAAAACAGGAAUAUAUUGAUGUUCUGAAAGCAAUUUCAUAUAGAUGAACCCCUUUGUGUCCCUCUGAAUUCCGUGCAUUAUCAAUGACGUCAUGAAAACAACCUAUACAUGUUUUAUUCCUUAUGUCUUGAUGAUAGUGCAUUCAUUAACCAAUACAACCCUAUUGUAAAGUGCUACUAGCAUUUCUCACCAUCAAAACAGACAUUAAACACAAACAAACUCUUCCACUUUGGCAUUUUCUAACAGCAGAGUCGUCUGCAAACGUCGAAAAGAAGGAUCUGUUAUCUAAUGUUUGUUUUCAACUGUGAGCUCGAGCCGCUGAACUAAUAAAACUCGUCUGACCUGAUUUCCUCGGUCGGAUGUAGAAGGAAAACUAUUCAUGUCAACAAGGGCAAAUUUCUGUUGUGGUUGCGGCCGGAGACUAUUGACAGGCUAUAUAUCAUGUCAGCCAAAUGAAAGUAAUGAAUCAUGUGGAUUAUUAACCCUCUAUAACUCUGUAAGCAGCGUUCGCCCUUUCACUAAACCUCUAAAAUAAAGCAAAUGUGUUUCAUUUCAAUGCUCAAGAAGAAAAAAGCUCAUCUGCAUCACAAACUCUGGUGUUCCCUUAUUAGUGUGCAGUAUUUCAAGAGUUCACACUUGGCUGAUGAUUGAUAGUAAAGCGGUUUGGCAUGCAGUCCCAGGAGAGAGCCCUGAGCUGAUCCGGGGCUUUCAUCGGGAGAGUGGGGGAGUCUGAGCUCAGGUAGGUCUUGAGAGCUCCGCUGAAUUUGUUUGACCUAUUGCUUGAUUAUUAGGGGUUGCCACAGUGGAAUUAACCACCAACUAUGCCAGCAUAUGUUUAUGCCUUGAAUGCCAAGUACUAAAACAUUCAUGCACUGUGCCAAUUUGGUUUAUUUGAUUCACUUAUACUACAUAUCUGUGGACUGUGGGAGGAAACCGGAGUACCUGGGAGAAACCCAUGAGAGCCCGGGGAGACCAUGCAAACUCCACAUAAAAGCGCCAACUGGCCCAGCCGGGACUCAAACCUGUGAGCUACUUGCUGUGAGGCGACAGUGUUAACCACUGAGCUGCCAUGCUGCCCUGUCCUGGGUUACUCUAGAAAAGAGAGGGAGGAGUAGGGGUGGAUUCUUCAAGGGAAAGAUGACUAAGGACCAGCUGUGAUCAAUCAUAAGCAGGAAUGUGUUUGCGUGUGCAGACCCUGAACCGUCUCUGCCUUGAUCCUGAAUGAGUCACUGCUGCAGUGCUCUGUGGGCGGAGCUAAGACUGGAUCCCCUGCUGCAAACUCAGUUAAACACACUCGCAUGCACGAUUUUCUCCCUCUCUCACACACACACACACACACACACACACACUGCAUGCUGUCACAUCCGGCCCUCAGGUCUACAGCGUGUCCUAUAAUUAGCCGCCUGCACAACUUAUGGCCUCAGAAUGAUUUAACCAAAUGCUUCAGAAUACCAUUCUACUGAGACAAAGACAUGGAAAGAUGGCUGAAAGAAAAAGGUGGAAGCUGGAGUCUAAACCUAACGUAGUGGCGUGUGCCUUAUUACAUUGUGGAGAUUACAAUGUCCCCACAAGUAUAGCAAUACCAGUCAAUUUUGACAUCUUUUUGUGUGUUCCCCUAUGAGGAAAACGGCUCAUAAAUCACACAGAAUGAAGAUGUAAAGAUGCAGACUGUUUCCCAUGAGGGUUGGGAUUAUGGUUUAGGUUUGUGUAGGGGUAUAGAACACAGAGUGUGCUGUAUAAAACCAUUACGUCUAUAGGAAGUCCCCAUAAAGAUAGCUGUACAAUUGUGUGAGUGUGUGUGUGUGUGUGUGUUUUCUGACCGUCCUCACAGAGCUCUCCCAAAACAAAAUGUGUUUUUGUCAUUAGGGUGAGUUUGUGGUGGGAGAAGAGGCCCCUCUCUGCCUUUCCAAGGCUAUUAGAUGGUCAAAAACAGCAGAACGACCCAGCAAACAAAGCAAUUGUGAAGAACCUCCAGUCACUACAAUAAAACCCAACCUGCUUUGAAUUUGUCUGGCAGACA